GGCAUGUCCCUUGUUAUUUUCAAGAUUACACUUGGUUAAAAACUGAUCAGUAGGUGAAAAUAGAAGGAUUACUUUCUUCCGAGAUACAUCAAUGUAAGUACAUCACAGGCAUGGUGCAUCAUCCCUCCAAGAUACAUCAAUGUAGGUACAAUCAGAGACAUACUGCAUCAUCAAGUCAAAAAUUGACUUAGAUAAGGAAUUGAGAUUUCAAAUCAUGAUACUGCAGUCCACAGAACACAAGAAAGGUGAUUUAGACAUUUUAUGACAGAUCACCGGCUCCCAGAUGAUAACCUACACCUACAAACUAUAAGCAUCAUGGGUUUUGGAGUUCUCUUGACUGUUUGCAGCACUGAAGAACAGGCUACUAAUAGUGACCAAAAUUCCUAUUCAUUUACGUACUCUGAAGCACUCAAAUAUUCACCAUGCUCCUCAAAGUACUCAAUCAAUCCCUUCAAGAAUUUAUCACCACUGACUGUUUCAGUAUCACAUACAAGACAGCACUGUCUCCUUGCUCGUGUCACAGCAACAUUCAUUCUUCUUCUGUCACUAAGA
rnacentral:misc_RNA from 1 species